rnacentral:rRNA from 1 species
CCUACCAAGGCGACGACGGGUAGCCGGCCUGAGAGGGCGACCGGCCACACUGGGACUGAGACACGGCCCAGACUCCUACGGGAGGCAGCAGUGGGGAAUAUUGCACAAUGGGCGAAAGCCUGAUGCAGCGACGCCGCGUGAGGGAUGACGGCCUUCGGGUUGUAAACCUCUUUCAGCAGGGACGAAGCGUAAGUGACGGUACCUGCAGAAGAAGCGCCGGCCGACUACGUGCCAGCAGCCGCGGUAAGACGUAGGGCGCGAGCGUUGUCCGGAUUUAUUGGGCGUAAAGAGCUCGUAGGCGGCUUGUCGCGUCGACUGUGAAAACCCGCAGCUCAACUGCGGGCCUGCAGUCGAUACGGGCAGGCUAGAGUUCGGUAGGGGAGACUGGAAUUCCUGGUGUAGCGGUGGAAUGCGCAGAUAUCAGGAGGAACACCGGUGGCGAAGGCGGGUCUCUGGGCCGAUACUGACGCUGAGGAGCGAAAGCGUGGGGAGCGAACAGGAUUAGAUACCCUGGUAGUCCACGCUGUAAACGUUGGGCGCUAGGUGUGGGGGACCUCUCCGGUUCUCUGUGCCGCAGCUAACGCAUUAAGCGCCCCGCCUGGGGAGUACGG